rnacentral:rRNA from 1 species
CACCGGCGGCCGAGUGGUAACCGCUUUUAAUUGGGUCUAAAGGGUCUGUAGCCGGCCAAGUAAGUCCUUUGGGAAGUCUGGUAGCUCAACUAUCAGGCUGCCAGGGGAUACUGCUUGGCUUGGGACCGGGAGAGGUGAGAGGUACCUCGGGGGUAGGGGUGAAAUCUUGUGAUCCUCGAGGGACCACCAGUGGCGAAGGCGUCUCACCAGAACGGGUCCGACGGUAAGGGACGAAAGCUAGGGGCACGAACCGGAUUAGAUACCCGGGUAGUCCUAGCCGUAAACGAUGCUCGCUAGGUGUCAGUCACGGUGCGACCGUGAUUGGUGCCGUAGGGAAGCCGUGAAGCGAGCCACCUGGGAAGUAUGGCCGCAAGGCUGAAACUUAAGGAAUUGGCGGGGAGCACUACAACGGGUGGAGCCUGCGGUUC